GAGGCAGCAGGAGGUCCAGGGAGGGAGGAUCAGGAGUAAAGGUGCAUGCCCAGAGGGGCUCACGGGCCCUCCCACCCUCUGUCCCUGCGCUGCCUGGGAGCAGAGCAAGUCCUGCGUGGGAGGAUGCUGUAACCAGCAGUGCAGUCCGCGCCCUGCCGGGAGAAGAAGGAAGACAAAGGUGGCUCUCCCUGCCCACAGAGGCAAACUCAAGAGCCCUUGAUGUGGAGCCUCGCUUCUCAAAGUGUGGCUCUUGGACCACAGCAGCAGCAGCAUUACCUAGAAGCUUGUCAGAAAUGCAGAAUCCCAGGCUCUCGACCCACCCAGACCGACUGCAUCAAAGCCUGAACAUUAACAAGAUUCCCGGGAGACUCAUAUGCACAUUGCAGUUGGAGACGCAGUUGGAGAACUGAGCUGAAGCAGGGUUCCUCUGCCCUGCCGGCUGCUUGUUCUCUCCUUGUCCCUCCUCCCACAGCCUCCGGAAACCCCAUCUGGGGAGCUGUUCUGCAAAGCUGCACCUUAUCCACCUCCUGGAGCAAAACACGAGCUACCUGCCGGGGACUGUUCAGAGUGCUUCCUGCGAAGUCUCCCACUCAGAAGUCACAGCGAUCCUAGGAGGUAGAUCUAUUCCUGUGCCCGUUUUACAGACAAGGAAACUGAGGCAGAGUUUUGGUAACCGGACUUGCCUUUGGAACCCAGCCGCCAUGCUGUGAGGAAGCCCAGGAUAACCCACGUGGUGAGGCCAUGCAGACAGGUUGUGCAUGGGGUUCUAGCCAAGAGCCUGGCUGAGAUCUCAGCCAACAGUCAGCUGUGCUGUGUGCUCCUGGGUGGCAGGCCACAGGUCCUGUUUCUCCCAGGCAUCUUCAUCUCCUGUCCUGGCCAACCUGGAAGUGCUUAGAGAGGGCUUGUUUGACCGACUGGAGGGUGUGGAGGAUGGACACUAAUCCUGGGAGCCAGGGAUCCAUCCCUCGAGCUUGGAUCCUACCUCCCUGCCCACAUUCCCUGAGCUCUCAUUAUAGGGAAUCACUGUUGGCCCGAUGUGGACUGUGAAUGACCUGGGCCUCCAGACCUCAGUUUCGCCACCUGUGAAAUAAAAAUGUUGGAUGAGGAUGAAGGGGCUCCUUCAGCUUUUUUGCUCAGGGAUUCCCCAAGAGGGGUAGAGAAUGAGGCUCAGAGAAGCUGUGUGACUUGUCCAAAGCCACACAGCCAUGAAGAAGCAGUACCAAAAAUUAGAACUCAAGACUGCCUGAGAUCUUGCAGCCUCACGUUCCUGAGACUUCCAGGCAGGGCAGGCCCAGAACGGUGGCACCGAUACCACUGCAGAAAGAGUCCAUCUCAGCACUGCCAGUGAUUUGAUGGCAGAAGAUUUUGGAUGCGGCCUCUUUGGACUCUGCACCCCAGCUCAGGUCAGAGCAGACUCCCAGACCCCAGGGAUGAGCUCUAGAAGCACGGGAAGAUCCCAGAGAGGACACUGGGCUGGGCCCUGAGACUGCCCUGUGGGUGGGCUGGAAAUUCCUCUCACUCUCAGCUCUGGCGGGCCAGGGACAGGCCAAGAGGAGUGGCUGAGUGACAUUUCCUCUGCAAUGAUGUCCCCAAUCAGUGGUCACUACAGUCCCACUCAGGACCCUGUACCCCCACAUGCAGGCACAGAGCACAGCCCCGCUCCUGGCAACCUGGACCCUAUGAGAGUGCAUGUGGUCACAUGGGCAGCCCCCAGCCCUGCAGCCACACACACAGUCAUGUUCACAGGCUCACGUCUGCACGCUCACCACGUGUGACAAUACACAGAUGGCUCCCUAGGAAGGACAACACGCGGCCCCUGCGCAUCUGUCCAGGCUCAGCCCUGAUUCCUGAGACUGCCUGGGCAUUGCUCCCUGGAUACGCAGAGGGCCCCGGCCCCCCUGUGUUCCUCUGCUCUGAGUGUGUGUGCACACAGGUGUGCAUGUGUGUGUGCCUGAUUGUGUGUGUGUGAGAGAAUGUGUGUGUGCAUGUGUGUGAGAAUGUGCGUGUGCAUGUGAGUGUGUGUGUGAUGAAGAAGGUUGGGCAGGGGCUUAGAAGCAGCCCUGGCCUUCACUCCACAAAGCAGAGGGUCCUGGAGCUGAAGCCAGUCUAAAAGCCGCAGGUCCUCCCUGUGCUCUGGGCCUCAUUCAGCCCUGGGGACAAGCCCAGUGGAGAGUAGCUCUUAUUCUUCACUUUAGGAAUUGUGAAACAGCCACAGAGAGAUUAAACAGCUCACCCAAAGUCACAAAGCUAGAUUACAGACAGGCAGCUUGGCAGCUCAAAGCCCAAGACCUUAACCACCAGGUUAUGCUGUGGUGGUGGGGUUAGCCCUUGUCACCCACUCUAACCCUCCCUCCUCGCCUGCCCCCUGCUUGGUGUCCCUUGGCACCUUAACCGUUGGUGCUCUUUAAACAGACUGAACUUUCAGUAUUUGCUAUUCUGCCCCCUCCUCGCCUCUCCCCACUGUCACACACAAUGUCAGCCCUACAGAGGUGGGCGUUUGUCCUGUUCUCUCUGUCCCCAGUGUCCUGUGGCACAGUGAGGACUCACAAAUGUGUGUAGAAGGGAGGGACUCCGUGGAUGAAUGAACAGGGUCAUGCAGCCUCAGCACACAGGGCUUCCUGCGUCCCGGUCCCGAGCAGGGGCUGGUGUAACGGGCAGGAGGCUGAGUCCCUUGGGGGCUGCAGGUACCACCCCCACUCCUUCCCGCCCAGCUCUCAGUCUCCCUCUCUGGGUGGGAUGCUGGUGUCUGAGCUGCUGCUGGCGGGGCUUGCUGGGGACUCCCGAGCUGGCCCAGGUGUUCUGGAAGCAACCCCUGUGGCCCUUCCCCCAACGCCUCCCCCACUGUCCUGUUCUGCUCUCCCAGGAUGGCCUCCAGGCUGGGAGGGGGCUGUGACCUCUUGGCGCACACUGGCCCCAAACAGGGCCCAGAGAAGCCGCUGACACCUGCUCCUUUGCCAAGUCUCACCCUCUCUGGUUUCCAUCCUGCCCCAGGGCCCCCAGCUCACCCCACCCUGCCCCUACCAGGCCCUCUGGUGCCCCCGCCCGUCACUAGGUGGCGCCAAGUGCCCUGAGACGGCAGGAAGUUGCCCCAGAAGGGCUCAGGGCUGGGGGUGGAGAGGCCGGUCCCUACAUUCAGGCUCCGACUGGACCUCCUGUCCCCAUGUCCCCUUCCUUGAAUGGCGUGGCAGCCCCUAAGAGAGCUGUGCUAAAGGGUGGUCAUACAUCCCUGACAUGUCCUUGCAAGCC
rnacentral:lncRNA from 1 species